UUUCAGCUUUGGAAAGAAUUGUAUACAGUACAUGUUCAAUAAAUCAAAUUGAGAAUGAAGAUGUUGUGAAAUCUGUUCUGCCUAUAGCCGAGUCGUAUGGAUUCCAACUGGCAAAGCCAUUCCCAAAUGGCAUGUCUUGGUCUUCCAGUCUUUGA